GAUGAACGCUGGCGGCGUGCCUAAUACAUGCAAGUCGAGCGAACGGACGAGAAGCUUGCUUCUCUGAUGUUAGCGGCGGACGUGUGAGUAACACGUGGAUAACCUACCUAUAAGACUGGUAUAACUUCGGGACACCGGCGCUAAUACCGGAUAAUAUUUUGAACCGCAUGGUUCAAAAGUGAAAGACGGUCUUUCUGGCACGUAUAGAUGGAUCCGCGCUGCAUUAGCUAGUUGGUAAGGUAACGGCUUACCAAGGCAACGAUGCAUAGCCGACCUGAGAGGGUGAUAGGCCACACUGGAACUGAGACACGGUCCAGACUCCUACGAGAGGCAGCAGUAGGGAAUCUUACGCAAUGGGCGAGAGCAUGACGGAGCGACGCCGCGUGAGUGAUGACGAUCUUCGGAUCGUAAAGCUCUGUUAUUAGGGAAGAACAGAUGUGUAAGUAACUGUGCACAUCUUGACGGUACCUAAUCAGAAAGCCACGGCUAACUACGUG
rnacentral:rRNA from 1 species